UAGCGGGAGGCCUAACACACGCAAGCCGAGCGGUAGAGAUCUUUCGGGAUCUUGAGAGCGGCGUACGGGUGCGGAACACGUGUGCAACCUGCCUUUAUCUGGGGGAUAGCCUUUCGAAAGGAAGAUUAAUACCCCAUAAUAUAUUGAACGGCAUCAUUUGAUAUUGAAAACUCCGGUGGAUAGAGAUGGGCACGCGCAAGAUUAGAUAGUUGGUGAGGUAACGGCUCACCAAGUCAGCGAUCUUUUGGGGGCCUGAGAUGGUGAUCCCCCACACUGGUACUGAGACACAGACCAGACUCCUACGGGAGGCAGCAGUGAGGAAUAUUGGACAAUGCGUGAGAGCCUGAUCCAGCCAUCCCGCGUGAAGGACGACGGCCCUAUGGGUUGUAAACUUCUUUUGUAUAGGGAUAAACCUACCCUCGUGAGGGUAGCUGAAGGUACUAUACGAAUAAGCACCGGCUAACUCCGUGCCAGCAGCCGCGGUAAUACGGAGGGUGCAAGCGUUAUCCGGAUUUAUUGGGUUUAAAGGGUCCGUAGGCUGAUUUGUAAGUCAGUGGUGAAAUCUCACAGCUUAACUGUGAAACUGCCAUUGAUACUGCAAGUCUUGAGUGUUGUUGAAGUAGCUGGAAUAAGUAGUGUAGCGGUGAAAUGCAUAGAUAUUACUUAGAACACCAAUUGCGAAGGCAGGUUACUAAGCAACAACUGACGCUGAUGGACGAAAGCGUGGGGAGCGAACAGGAUUAGAUACCCUGGUAGUCCACGCCGUAAACGAUGCUAACUCGUUUUUGGGCUUUUGGGUUCAGAGACUAAGCGAAAGUGAUAAGUUAGCCACCUGGGGAGUACGAACGCAAGUUUGAAACUCAAAGGAAUUGACGGGGGCCCGCACAAGCGGUGGAUUAUGUGGU
rnacentral:rRNA from 1 species